rnacentral:rRNA from 1 species
CUGCGAAUGGCUCAUUAAAUCAGUUAUCGUUUAUUUGAUAGUACCUUACUACUUGGAUAACCGUGGUAAUUCUAGAGCUAAUACAUGCUUAAAACCCCAACUUCGGGAGGGGUGUAUUUAUUAGAUAAAAAACCAACGCCCUUCGGGGCUUCUUGGUGAUUCAUGAUAACUUUACGGAUCGCAUGGCCUUGCGCCGGCGACGGUUCAUUCAAAUUUCUGCCCUAUCAACUUUCGAUGGUAAGGUAUUGGCUUACCAUGGUUUCAACGGGUAACGGGGAAUUAGGGUUCGAUUCCGGAGAGGGAGCCUGAGAAACGGCUACCACAUCCAAGGAAGGCAGCAGGCGCGCAAAUUACCCAAUCCCGACACGGGGAGGUAGUGACAAUAAAUACUGAUACAGGGCUCUUUUGGGUCUUGUAAUUGGAAUGAGUACAAUUUAAACCUCUUAACGAGGAACAAUUGGAGGGCAAGUCUGGUGCCAGCAGCCGCGGUAAUUCCAGCUCCAAUAGCGUAUAUUAAAGUUGUUGCAGUUAAAAAGCUCGUAGUUGAACCUUGGGUCUGGCUGGCAGGUCCGCCUCACCGCGUGUACUUGUCCGGCCGGGCCUUCCUUCUGGAGAACCUCAUGCCCUUCACUGGGCGUGUUGGGGACCAGGACUUUUACUUUGAAAAAAUUAGAGUGUUCAAAGCAGGCCUUUGCUCGAAUACGUUAGCAUGGAAUAAUAGAAUAGGACGUGCGGUCCUAUUUUGUUGGUUUCUAGGACCGCCGUAAUGAUUAAUAGGGACAGUCGGGGGCAUCAGUAUUCAAUUGUCAGAGGUGAAAUUCUUGGAUUUAUUGAAGACUAACUACUGCGAAAGCAUUUGCCAAGGAUGUUUUCAUUAAUCAGUGAACGAAAGUUAGGGGAUCGAAGACGAUCAGAUACCGUCGUAGUCUUAACCGUAAACUAUGCCGACUAGGGAUCGGGCGAUGUUCUUUUUCUGACUCGCUCGGC